AUACAUAUGUGAGAAAAAACAGCCCGCCUGUAAUUCUUUUACAUGCUACAUCUUCCACUUCCCUCUGGUUUCUUAUUCUCAGAUUAUUAUAAAAUUCGGCUACUUAGAGCAAUGACGGUACCGACUAACUCUUCUCAUUAUACCUAAUUUAAUCCAUAAAGAUUAAGCAAGUCUGCAGGAGAGCACAGCCAAUGUUUCUCAUCAGCACGUGGUCCCAGCCACGUCAUUCCAACACACCAGGCCUCAAAACAGACCCAAGCCUUUACACUCAUGAGCUGUGCUGUGGGACACGAAUGGAGAUGCAGUGCAUCACCCUUCAUAGCAUCCCUAUGAGCGCAGCAGACGUUUUCCCGACAGCUUCUGGACAUGACCACGUCCGUUCAACAUCUGUAACAGAUCUGGAGUUGAGGUUCCUUUUAUGAAAAUAUACCUGUUUAAUGUAUUUACUGUAUCAAUUAGGGUUUAAGUGUUUUUCAACUUGUUUACUGCCUUUUUUAUGAGGUGCUGAAUAAAAUCACCCCAGCACUAAGCACAGAGCGAUGCGAGCUUCAGCAGGCUUGUAAGCUGUUAUUUAACUGCUAGAAGAAUUAACACCAACUUAGUUACUAAUUAUUUGAUUUAUACCUGUUGAAUGCUUGAAUCUGAUUGGUCAGGUGCCAUUGAUUCAUUCCUGCGACAAUAGUUAUGGCUGUAAGGUUCAACAACAAUGGUGUUAGAAGAAUACAACACUUCCAGAUGUGCUGUUGCUGGAAGGUAAUCAACUUUGGGGUGGUAAUGGAUAACAUCACCUUAUCGCUGAUUGGUUUCCGAUAACACCACGGCUGCUUGAUUUCUUUAAUCGUGUUUUGAUAUCUCAAAUAUGAAGAUCAAAUUUCUUUCAGUAUUAGUAUUUGAAACUACUGUAUGAAUCCAGUGCAGUAAUGUCAUUAUGGGCACCAUUUAUCUAGCACCAGAUAUAUUUCAAAUGGCAGAAUCUAGUCCUCCUUAUAAAACAAAAAGCUGUUAGUGUGCAUUCCAUACCUCUUACGAUGAUCUAAAUGUAUAUUAAUGACUAAAAUGCUGAAGAUGUACAUUUGUGAGAUCACUUCUUUAUACAAUACAGCUGUGGGAUGUAAAUCCUAAAAUCUUAGCUCAUUCUAGGAUGAUUCAUAUAAAUGCCACAUUUUUUUAGUACAAAAGAAACAAAGCCACUAAUCUUCUAAUGUCAAUUCAUCAGAGUUGCUUUUGUGCUUCGAACAUAUGGCUGGAUUUGCUCUUAAAAUAAGUUGAUAUGCAGCAAGCGUAUUCGUUUGUCUACUGGAGCGUGCAAUAUCACCACAAUGACCCUGUCGAGUCAUUAGGGCUACAGAGCCCUACGGGCAGCCAAAUCAGAAUGUGACUUUGGAAAAAGGACUGACCGACCUGUUGCAGAGACGGAUGUUCGUCAAUCAACAUGGCUGGAGCUAUUUAUUACCAGAAACUGGGAGAUGUGUUUACAGCAGCACGCGGUUCAGUUUCACAUAGCUGGACAGGAGAGGGAGAAACACAUGCCCCACUGCUCCAAUUAGGGAGCUCGCCUGUGGGCGUGAGCUUUCCAUGAGGUCAAACCAGUGAACGGGACUAUCAGCAUGACUGGAGAGAGGAUGCCAGAGCAGGGGGAUAGACAUUGCUACUAUGUCCCCAUGAUGCAAGCGCUUCAUGUCAGUACUGCCUCUCCAUGCAGGGUGCAUCCUUAAUGUCACUCAAACUGUGAACCAUUUCGAUUCAAUUUAAUUUGUAUUUGUAUAACUUAUUUCAAAAAAAUUGGCACUCUCAUAAAGCAGCAUUACCAUAAUCCAGAUGUAGAUUUAGAUUCCUAGUGCGCAAGCCAGAGGGGACAGUGACAAAGAAAACACCCUGAGACAACAUGAGGAAGGAAUCUUAAAAGGAACCAGACACAAGGUCCUCUUCUAAGCCUGGAUUUUCAAACAGCUAAUAAAAGAAUUAAGGCUGUACAUGGAGCUGGAGUUGUACUAUUUACUUUUUCAAUUAACUAUUAAUAUUCAAUGUUUCAUUUAUUUGUAUACCAAGAAUAGAAAUAAAAGACAUAUGUACUGUAUACACUGAUCAGGAGUAACAUUAUGACCACCUGCCUAAUAUUGUGUUGGUCCCCAUUUUGCUCCCAAAACAGCCCUGACCCGUCCUGCACUGUGUUAUUCUGACACCUUUCUAUCAGAACCAGCAUUAACUUCUUCAGCAAUUUGAGCAACAGUAGCUCGUCUGUUGGAUCGGAUCACACGGGCCAGCCUUCACUCCCCACGUGUAUCAAUAAGCCUUGCCCGCUGGUUCACCACUGUUCCUUCCUUGGACCACUUUUGAUAGAUACUGACCACUGCAGACUGGGAACACCUCACAAGAGCUGCAGUUUUGGAGAUGCCCUGAUCCAGUUGUCUAGCCAUCACAAUUUGGCCCUUGUCAAACUCGCUCAAAUCCUUACGCUUGUCCAAUUUUCCUGCUUCUAACACAUCAACUUUGAGGACAAAAUGUUCACUUGCUGCCUAAUAUAUCCCACCCACUAACAGGGGCCAUGAUGAGAAGAUAAUGAGUGUUAUUCACUUCACCUCUCACUGCUCAUAAUGUUAUGCCUGAUCAGUGUAUAGUUUGCAUUUAACAAUGAAAGUGUCUAUACAACGUGUAGAUGUAUUACAGCUGUCUUCAUAGUAAAGACAUUUAGAUAUGAAGCCCAUCACAAGGAAAAGAAGCAUGUGAUAAAACCAGAGAAAUCCUGUGGUUCACCUGAAACUCCACAGGGCUCAGGCUCGAACCAGGGACCUUGUGUCUAUCAUCAAGAUUUAGAGGUAACAG